AUUCGUCGAGGUAUUCGCCGGGGCGCUCUUCUAUCCGACGGUACUCAACUAUGGCCGCAGCUUGAUCGAGCCCGAGUUCCACUGGUGGGAUCGCAUCGACAAGGAUAUUUGGAUAGGGGCAGUUCCUCACCAACCAAUGUCAUAAUUGAUCACGUCCGCAAAUGAUUUUUGGACUGUAGUUUGGAUUGUUCUGCCGAGCGUAUAACAACGCAUGCUAUCUAUCAAAGCUUCGACUCAUUUGUUUUGCUGCUCGGGAAUAUUGAGACGAGAAGAAUGGCCUUGAUGCUGGAGGUUAAUGGAUCACCCUGGGAACGAUUUUGAGGGCAUUAUGCCAGCUACUUUGAUGGCAAUGGAUUAUGGAAUGGCAAACUAACAGGGCACAUCGCACAACUGCUAUAAAUGUGUUGAUAUGUUGCAUUUCAAGGCAGUUUCACUCAUAAAUACUACAAAGGUUUACAAA